GGAGCAAACAGAUAGAUACUGUAGUCCACGCCGUAAACGAUGAAUGUAGGUUUAGGGGUUUGGAUACCCUUGGUGCGAAGUAACACAUUAAGCAUUCCGCCUGGGAGUACUGUGCAAGACUGAAACUCAAAGGAAUGACGGGACCCGCACAAGCAGGGGAGUAUGUGGUUUAAUUGAAGCAACGCGAAGAACCUUACCAGGUCUUGACAUCCCUCUGACCGCUGUAGAGAUAGGCCUUUCCUUCGGGACAGAGGAGACAGGUGGUGCAUGGUUGUCGUCAGCUCGUGUCGUGAGAUGUUGGGUUAAGUCCCGCAACGAGCGCAACCCUUAUGCUUAGUUGCCAGCUGGUCAAGCUGGGCACUCUAAGCAGACUGCCGGUGACAAACCGGAGGAAGGUGGGGAUGACGUCAAAUCAUCAUGCCCCUUAUGACUUGGGUUACACACGUACUACAAUGGCCGGUACAACGGGAAGCGAAGCCGCGAGGUGGAGCCAAUCCUAGAAAAGCCGGUCUCAGUUCGGAUUGCAGGCUGCAACUCGCCUGCAUGAAGUCGGAAUUGCUAGUAAUCGCGGAUCAGCAUGCCGCGGUGAAUACGUUCCCGGGUCUUGUACACACCGCCCGUCACACCACGAGAGU
rnacentral:rRNA from 1 species